GAUGAAGAACGCAGCGAAAUGCGAUAAGUAAUGUGAAUUGCAGAAUUCAGUGAAUCAUCGAAUCUUUGAACGCACAUUGCGCCCGCUAGUAUUCUGGCGGGCAUGCCUGUCCGAGCGUCAUUUCAACCCUCAAGCCCCCGGGCUUGGUGUUGGGGAUCGGCGAGCCUCCGCGCCCGCCGUCCCCUAAAUCUAGUGGCGGUCUCGCUGUAGCUUCCUCUGUGUAGUAGCACACCUCGCACUGGGAAACAGCGCGGCCACGCCGUUAAACCCCCAACUUCUGAACGUUUGACCUCGGAUCAGGUAGGAAUACCCGCUGAACUUAAGCAUAUCAAUAAGCGGAGGA
rnacentral:misc_RNA from 1 species